rnacentral:rRNA from 1 species
UACGAAGGGAGCUAGCGUUGUUCGGAAUUACUGGGCGUAAAGGGCGCGUAGGCGGCCACCGCAAGUCAGUUGUGAAAUCUCUGGGCUUAACCCAGAACGGUCAGCUGAUACUGCGGGGCUAGAGUGCAGAAGGGGCAACUGGAAUUCUCGGUGUAGCGGUGAAAUGCGUAGAUAUCGAGAGGAACAUCAGUGGCGAAAGCGACUUCCUGGACCAGUACCGACGUUCAGGCACGAAAGCGUGGGGAGCAAACAGG